rnacentral:piRNA from 1 species
UGGACUCAACGUCAAUUCCACGAAUUCAACA